UAUUGUCGAGUUGUUUUAACUCCUAUCUGCUGCUCCAGCAUCAUCUAUAGCUCUGCUCAGCCUAAACAGAUUUCCCCUGCCCUUCCACUCAAAACUAGAAAAGCUAAGCCAGAGACGUCCCACCCAUCCGGCCAGCUCUCAACCAAGCAGGGUUCUUCCAGGGACACUGAUAGAUAUCCCAAGUCCCUGGUUGUAAAGACUGAUAAAAGUCCUCUGCAACCAAAAGUCACCUGUAGAGGGAAACGACCAGCUGCAGAUAAAAACAAUGAUGCUUCUGCAACACCCUCAUCAACAAAAAACAGCCAAAAGAGACCUGCUGAAAUAGAUUCUACAAAUCUACAAUUGAAGAAAAGAAGGCUGGAGAAAGGCUCCAAGUCUAUCCCGUCAGGUCAGGCUCUCAUCAAAUUUGACUCCACCACCAAAGCAGCGGAGGACAAAAAGGAAAAGAAGGAAAAGAAGAGUCCUACAAACUUACAGCAGCCCCGAACACCGCAGGACUCUGCAAUGAGAUCAGAGGAACACAGAAGUCUCUCCUCUCCAGCAAGACCCAGAAAUCCAGCACCAGUGCAGGAAAAACCACAUGAAUGACUACACUGGAAAAUAUACAAAUUACUCAAAAGGUGAAAAGGUAUGCUGUCAGAGCUGGAUGCUGUCAUUGGCCCAUUGAGCUUAACUUCACAUAUAAGCUCUGGUACGCUACACAAGGCAGGGUCUCCACUGGCUUAGGCCAAAUAACCAAAAGGUACAGCAACCCACCACUCUCCUGCCGCAAUAAUGCCUGUUGGAGUAUUCUUGACAACUUGGCUCUACCCUAAACCAACUCAUCUUUGGAAAAACAAACCACGGUAACACCCUGGAUACUUCCGGCUUUUUUUUUUUUUUUUUUGUCUGACGUUGGACUACCAUAGCUCGCUCUCUUUUGAUUUAAUUUGUGGACAUUAUUUAAUUUAUGUUGUUACCACCUCUUGUGAAAUUAGAAGUCCAAAACAAUUACGCCACAGCAAAUAAUGUACUGUUUUGUCCACUCUUAUCUUUGUCCCCAAUUCUCCUGCUCUUUUCCACUCCUAUAUUUGAAAUGCACUAUGUAAAUGUGCAUAUUUGGCCCACCCAACACCAUUGCAUAGUCUGACAAGAAUUAUUGUCCUUCAAAUGGGUGUUAUCAUGACAGAAAAAAAUCAGGGGCCUGCUCAUGAGGGACUUCAAGUCAGAUGAAAGCAUACAAGAUGAAACUGCAGUACAGUUGUGCCAUUUGAACGUGCAAUGUAUUUGGUUGUAUAUUUCACAUUUCUCUCUGCCUCCCAACGUUCUAAUUUUGCCAAAUUGGUUCUCCCACUUUUCUUCUGAGGCGGCACAAACAGUGACAAUAGAGAGCUUAUUUAUUAACUGUACUUUUUUUUUUUAUUAUAACCAUGCCAAUAGUUGUCAGUGUCAAGUGUCAUUAAAGUAUUUAAUUGUAUAUUACCUUUAGAGUAUGUCUACUUAAGAGCUGAGAGGAGAAUGAAUUGCCAGCGUAAAGUAUAAUUUGUACUUUGAGUAUUGGCAUUUUCUUACAAUAUUCUAUUGGGCAAACAGAAAACAUGUUGGUUUCUUAAGAAGGGCAAGACUUUGCAAGUCUUGAUUCUUCUGAAGACUGAUUCCAACAAACUCCAAAGAGUUUUGUGGCUCCAGAAUUUGUUUUGUGCAUUGUAAACUUAUAUUAGAAGAGGUUAUUUGUUUAAAGCAGAACUACAAACUCAUUAGUAACUAAAAAGUGGUGAAAUUAUGUCUCAUUAAAAAAAAAAGUGGUUUCAACCACACUUUCAUCUCUCGUAUUAAGUACCAUUGUUUAUUUCAAACAUUUACUUUAUCAUUGAUUUGGGGCUCACUGCAAAUGGCUGGUAGUUAUGUUUCUUGAAGUACAAGGUCUACAUCGGGAAUCGGCUAACCAGGGGUGAGUGAUUUUUUUUGGAGGGGGGGGGGUGUCAUGAAUUGAGUACACGGGGAACCAUGACUUUGAGCUAUUUUUGAAGUUUGAUUUAAGCAGGUUUCAAAGACAAUUUAUCAAAUCUUUGAGUCUUCGUUUCUCUGUCCCAGUUCAACUUUUGUUUGUCCUUCACUUUAAAAUGACUCUGGAAUAAGUCAUGCUGCUUGUCAGUAAAUAUAAUUUACAUGUACAAAAUGCUCAGUGAGGUUUUGUAAUUAUUAUUUGUGAAGAUAUGUAAAUACUUUGAGUUUACAUACAGAGAUGAAUAAACACCCGACUGCA